rnacentral:pre_miRNA from 1 species
AGUGGGAUAGCUGGGUCAAAUGGUGGUUCCAUUCUAAGUUUUCGAAGGAUCUUCAUACUGCUUUCCAGAUUGGUUGCACCAAUUUGCAAUCCCACCAGCAAU